rnacentral:ncRNA from 1 species
AUAAAAGCUAUGAUGGAGAAAAGUAAGCAGGACAUGACGUUACAGAGAGAAGGCACCAAGAAGCCGGUACCGUGUUGACAAAUUCAGGCGGUUAUAUGGCUUGGCUGUAAGUGCUUUUAACGGAAUACCAGCCCAAGUUCCCUCCGGAGCUGCGUUCUGAACCAGUGCUAAAGUCAAUUAAGGUUGACUUUGAUUUCCGCUUGCAUGUAUUAUGGCUUUAAGACGGAUUACAGUAGGAACUGCCGGUAAAUACCGUUAAAAUUGCAAUGAGUUUGAAGAUUGAGUUAUCUUUUGGCUGUCAGGGCUUACGGCGGCUGUCUUCAAAAAAACUGGGUGGUACCGCGAAGAAUGCCUUCGUCCCUUUG